CAAUAGCGUAUAUUAACGUUGUUGCAGUUAAAAAGCUCGUAGUUGGAUUUCUGGAGGGAGCGUCGGCCCGUAUUUACGAGUGCGUGACGUCUCUGUCCAUCCUUGCGGGAAGGCACGGCAUUGAUUUGUUGUGUCGGAUCGCAUCAUUUACUGUGAAAAAAUUAGAGUGUUCAAAGCAGGCUUUCGCUUGAAUACAUUAGCAUGGAAUAAUAAGAUAGGACUUUGGUGCUAUUUUGUUGGUUGAGCCUAAAAUAAUGAUUAAUAGGGAUAGUUGGGGGCACCUGUAUUGCGUUGUCAGAGGUGAAAUUCUUGGAUUUACGCAAGACAAACAGCUGCGAAAGCGUCUGCCAAGGAUGUUUUCAUUAA
rnacentral:rRNA from 1 species